rnacentral:rRNA from 1 species
CAGUAGCCGCGGUAAGACAGAAGAUGCAAGCGUUAUCCGGAAUGAUUGGGCGUAAAGCGUCUGUAGGUGGCUUUUCAAGUCCGCCGUCAAAUCCCAGGGCUCAACCCUGGACAGGUGGUGGAAACUACCAAGCUGGAGUAUGGUAGGGGCAGAGGGAAUUUCCAGUGGAGCGGUGAAAUGCGUUGAGAUCGGAAAAACACCAACAGCGAAAUCACUCUGCUAGGCCGACACUGACACUGAGAGACGAAAUCUAGGGGAGCAAUGGGAUUAGAUACCCGUGUAGUCCCUGUCUCUUAUACAC